rnacentral:rRNA from 1 species
UUAAGCGACUAAGCGUACACGGUGGAUGCCCUGGCAGUCAGAGGCGAUGAAGGACGUGCUAAUCUGCGAAAAGCGUCGGUAAGGUGAUAUGAACCGUUACAGCCGGCGAUGUCCGAAUGGGGAAACCCAGUGCAAUUCGUUGCACUAUCGUUAACUGAAUACAUAGGUUAACGAGGCGAACCGGGGGAACUGAAACAUCUAAGUACCCCGAGGAAAAGAAAUCAACCGAGAUUCCCCCAGUAGCGGCGAGCGAACGGGGAGCAGCCCAGAGUCUGAAUCAGCUUGUGUGUUAGUGGAACGGUCUGGAAAGUCCGACGGUACAGGGUGAUAGUCCCGUACACCAAAAUGCACAGGCUGUGAACUCGAAGAGUAGGGCGGGACACGUGGUAUCCUGUCUGAAUAUGGGGGGACCAUCCUCCAAGGCUAAAUACUCCUGACUGACCGAUAGUGAACCAGUACCGUGAGGGAAAGGCGAAAAGAACCCCGGCGAGGGGAGUGAAAAAGAACCUGAAACCGUGUACGUACAAGCAGUGGGAGCACCUUCGGGUGUGACUGCGUACCUUUUGUAUAAUGGGUCAGCGACUUAUAUUCUGUAGCAAGGUUAACCGUAUAGGGGAGCCGCAGGGAAACCGAGUCUUAACUGGGCGUUAAGUUGCAGGGUAUAGACCCGAAACCCGGUGAUCUAGCCAUGGGCAGGUUGAAGGUUGGGUAACACUAACUGGAGGACCGAACCGACUAAUGUUGAAAAAUUAGCGGAUGACUUGUGGCUGGGGGUGAAAGGCCAAUCAAACCGGGAGAUAGCUGGUUCUCCCCGAAAGCUAUUUAGGUAGCGCCUCGUGAACUCAUCUUCGGGGGUAGAGCACUGUUUCGGCUAGGGGGUCAUCCCGACUUACCAACCCGAUGCAAACUACGAAUACCGAAGAAUGUUAUCACGGGAGACACACGGCGGGUGCUAACGUCCGUCGUGAAGAGGGAAACAACCCAGACCGCCAGCUAAGGUCCCAAAGUCAUGGUUAAGUGGGAAACGAUGUGGGAAGGCACAGACAGCCAGGAUGUUGGCUUAGAAGCAGCCAUCAUUUAAAGAAAGCGUAAUAGCUCACUGGUCGAGUCGGCCUGCGCGGAAGAUGUAACGGGGCUAAACCAUGCACCGAAGCUGCGGCAGCGACACUAUGUGUUGUUGGGUAGGGGAGCGUUCUGUAAGCCUGCGAAGGUGACCUGUGAGGGUUGCUGGAGGUAUCAGAAGUGCGAAUGCUGACAUAAGUAACGAUAAAGCGGGUGAAAAGCCCGCUCGCCGGAAGACCAAGGGUUCCUGUCCAACGUUAAUCGGGGCAGGGUGAGUCGACCCCUAAGGCGAGGCCGAAAGGCGUAGUCGAUGGGAAACAGGUUAAUAUUCCUGUACUUGGUGUUACUGCGAAGGGGGGACGGAGAAGGCUAUGUUAGCCGGGCGACGGUUGUCCCGGUUUAAGCAUGUAGGCUGGUUAUCCGCAAAUCCGGAUAAUCAAGGCUGAGGUGUGAUGACGAGGCACUACGGUGCUGAAGUAACAAAUGCCCUGCUUCCGUGAAAGCCUCUAAGCAUCAGGUAACAUUAAAUCGUACCCCAAACCGACACAGGUGGUCAGGUAGAGAAUACCAAGGCGCUUGAGAGAACUCGGGUGAAGGAACAGGCAAAAUGGUGCCGUAACUUCGGGAGAAGGCACGCUGGUGUAGGUGAAGUCCCUGCGGAUGGAGCUGAGACCAGUCGAAGAUACCAGCUGGCUGCAACUGUUUAUUAAAAACACAGCACUGUGCAAACACGAAAGUGGACGUAUACGGUGUGACGCCUGCCCGGUGCCGGAAGGUUAAUUGAUGGGGUUAUCCGUAAGGAGAAGCUCUUGAUCGAAGCCCGGUAAACGGCGGCCGUAACUAUAACGGUCCUAAGGUAGCGAAAUUCUUGUCGGGUAAGUUCCGACCUGCACGAAUGGCGUAAUGAUGGCGCUGUCUCCACCCGAGACUCAGUGAAAUUGAACUCGCUGUGAAGAUGCAGUGUACCCGCGGCAAGACGGAAAGACCCCGUGAACCUUUACUAUAGCUUGACACUGAACAUUGAGCCUUGAUGUAGGAUAGGUGGGAGGCUUUGAAGCGUGGACGCCAGUCUGCGUGGAGCCAACCUUGAAAUACCACCCUUUAAUGUUUGAUGUUCUAACGUUGGCCCUUACCGGGUUGCGGACAGUGUCUGGUGGUAGUUUGACUGGGGCGGUCUCCUCCCAAAGCGUAACGGAGGAGCACGAAGGUUAGCUAAUCGGUCGGACAUCAGGAGGUUAGUGCAAUGGCAUAAGCUAGCUUGACUGCGAGCGUGACGGCGCGAGCAGGUGCGAAAGCAGGUCAUAGUGAUCCGGUGGUUCUGAAUGGAAGGGCCAUCGCUCAACGGAUAAAAGGUACCGGGAUAACAGGCUGAUACCGCCCAAGAGUUCAUAUCGACGGCGGUGUUUGGCACCUCGAUGUCGGCUCAUCACAUCCUGGGGCUGAAGUAGGUCCCAAGGGUAUGGCUGUUCGCCAUUUAAAGUGGUACGCGAGCUGGGUUUAGAACGUCGUGAGACAGUUCGGUCCCUAUCUGCCGUGGGCGCUGGAGAAUUGAGGGGGGCUGCUCCUAGUACGAGAGGACCGGAGUGGACGCAUCACUGGUGUUCGGGUUGUCAUGCCAAUGGCACUGCCCGGUAGCUAAAUGCGGAAGAGAUAAGUGCUGAAAGCAUCUAAGCACGAAACUUGCCCCGAGAUGAGUUCUCCCUGAGACUUUAAGUCUCCUGAAGGAACGUUAAAGACGAUGACGUUGAUAGGCCGGGUGUGUAAGCGCAGCGAUGCGUUGAGCUAACCGGUACUAAUGAACCGUGAGGCUUAACCU